rnacentral:rRNA from 1 species
AUACGGAGGGAGCAAGCGUUAUGCGGAAUCACUGGGCGUAAAGGACGCGUAGGCGGGUUUGUAAGUCAGGUGUGAAAUCCUACAGCUCAACUGUAGAACUGCACUUGAAACUACAGACCUAGAGUAUGGAAGGGGCAGAUGGAAUUAGUGGUGUAGGGGUAAAAUCCGUAGAUAUCACUAGGAAUACCGAAAGCGAAGGCGAUCUGCUGGGACAUUACUGACGCUGAGGCGUGAAAGCGUGGGGAGCAAACAGGAUUAGAAACCCUAGUAGUCC